GACGAACGCUGGCGGCGUGCCUAAUACAUGCAAGUAGAACGCUGAAGGAGGAGCUUGCUCUUCUGGAUGAGUUGCGAACGGGUGAGUAACGCGUAGGUAACCUGCCUGGUAGCGGGGGAUAACUAUUGGAAACGAUAGCUAAUACCGCAUAACAGUAGAUGUUGCAUGACAUUUACUUAAAAGUUGCAAUUGCAUCACUACCAUAUGGACCUGCGUUGUAUUAGCUAGUUGGUGGGGUAACGGCUCACCAAGGCGACGAUACAUAGCCGACCUGAGAGGGUGAUCGGCCACACUGGGACUGGGACACGGCCCAGACUCCUACGGGAGGCAGCAGUAGGGAAUCUUCGGCAAUGGACGGAAGGCUGACCGAGCAACGCCGCGGGAGUGAAGAAGGUUUUCGGAUCGUAAAGCUCUGUUGUAAGAGAAGAAAGAGUGUGAGAGUGGAAAGUUCACACUGUGACGGUAUCUUACCAGAAAGGGACGGCUAACUACGUG
rnacentral:rRNA from 1 species